rnacentral:rRNA from 1 species
AUUGAACGCUGGCGGCAGGCCUAACACAUGCAAGUCGAACGAGUGGCGGACGGGUGAGUAAUGUCUGGGAAACUGCAUGAUGGAGGGGGAUCACUACUGGAAACGGUAGCUAAUACCGCAUACCAUCAGAUGUGCCCAGAUGGGAUUAUCUUGUUGGUGGGGUAACGGCUCACCAAGGCGAAGAUCCCUAGCUGGUUUGAGAGGAUGACCAGCCACACUGGAACUGAGACACGGUCCAGACUCCACAGUGCGGCAGCAUUAGCUAAUAUUGCACAAUGGGCGCAAGCCUGAUGCAGCCAUGCCGCGUGUAUGAAGAGAGCCUUCGGGUUGUAAAGUACUUUCAGCGGGGAGGCGUUACCCGCAGAAGAAGCACCGGCUAACUCCGUGCCAGCAGCCGCGGUAAUUC